UUUUUAUUUUUCAUACAUUCCUAUUUACAAACAAUAUUACUUUUAAUAUGGUUUCCAAAUGCACCCUGUGUAAUUAUUCUAUUGAUGUCCUGUGCCCCCCCCCUUCCCUGCCAUUCUUAUUUAUUCAAGCGAUCACGUUACCACAUCAUUCCUUAAAAGUGCUUUAAUGUACUCUUCAAACCUCGACAGUACAUUGAUUUGACCCACUGUUUUAAUAGGAACGCAUGGUUUUGGUCUAUUUGGCGACACCUGCUGACCACGGGGAACGAAAACACUCUGCGGCCAUUUUGGUCCAAACUCUUUUAAGUUUUUCGGCUCAAUUUGUAGCUUUUUGUGUUUUGUUCUCUGCUGGUUCGUCUCGUGUUCUACUUUUACUAUUUAUCGUCAUACAUUUGGAUUUUUGUGACCCCUAAUACCGCUCUUGUUUAAUGUUUUGUUUACGUUUCUGCCCACGGAGGCCGCCAUCUUGGAUCUCCAACAUUAAUAUGGUUUGGAGUCACUUAGCACCCCCUGUUGGUGACCCAAAUUCAUUAUAACACCACGGUUCUCCAUGCUCCAUCUCCUGGAUGUUUGAUGGUAGUACAACGUACAAAAAUAACAUUGUUUACACGCUAUGUUUUUAUUGCGCUUUAAUUCAACCUUACGAUCGGCCCCCCUACUUUCACCAAUUUAUUAAUUUACCCUCCCGGCUCCCCAUUGACCCUUCCUGCGUCUUCCCCCUUUAUCUAGGCCCUCAAUUUAAUUUAUUUUAUUCGUUUUUUAUCGUCCUCCACCAUCCCGUGUCCCCCAGUCCCCUCUCAUUCAUCUCCCAUCCCCUACUCACCUGCUGCUUCCUCUUCCCUAUUGUAUAUAUGUAAUUUAAAAUGUAUAUAUAAUGCAAAUAAGGAUGCUUCUAAUGUUUGAACCGUAUUUACGGUCACAUUAUUACACAUUUUAUUGUUCGGGGCACGUUCGAUCUUUUAUGUUUUUAUUAUUUUCUGUUAUUUGUUUUUGUCCUCCACUGCUAUAAUUUAAUGCAACGGGGUCAUUUGAUUAUGUUUUUAUUAAAUUCUGUCGCGAGCUGUCAGUCCAACACCACCCGGUUUAGGGACAAUCAGCGACCACUGCUGGCGGCUCCGGAAGGUGCAGGCACCAUGGUCCUCCUCACUCCACCUGCUGGUGACAGAAUUAUGCUACAUUGUUGCAUUAUUGCACAAUUACAUUUGAAAAUUCAACCUCCCUAUUGGCCCAAUUCAAAUCUCAAAGCUGUUUAUCCUCCUGACCCCCCAUUGGCUCUCCACCUGACCCCCCAUUGGCUCUCCACCCCAAAUUUCAAAAUUGUUGUGAUGCACCGGCCCCCCAUUGGAUGCCUCUACCCCAGAUGUCAACUUUCCCCUCCCUCUGUUGUGUGUCUAUAAAAGUAUUUGUUUUUGUGCUGUCACAUUUGUGCUCUGUUCCCUCGGCUUGCGUGGAUUCUCUGUCAUAGGGUCUGUUUCUAUUGCUACUAAAUUUGUACCUGAUGAAGUCAAUUAUUUGACGAAACGUCGUACUAGCAUACAGCAGCCUAAUUUCCUAAAAAUAAAUACGGAUAUUGGCUGGAUCGCACUUGUCUUAUUACCUUACAGUUUAGCUUAGCUUCAUUCCGUUAUCGUUCGAGUUCCUGCACUGCUCGAAGAGAACCAUGCAUCCCAACGACCCCCUAACCAACGCUGUGCCGCAGUUUGGCCCGCUGGUGGGGCACAUAUCCAGGAACCUGUGGACAACUUUGCUGAGAUCACUGUCAUAUACCCGCACAGUGAGCGGGUUCAUCUUCUCACGUCCUGUAACGAUAGCAGGUGGAGUGAGGAGGACCAUGGUGCCUGCACCUUCCGGAGCCGCCAGCAGUGGUCGCUGAUUGUCCCUAAACCGGGUGGUGUUGGACUGACAGCUCGCGACAGAAUUUAAUAAAAACAUAAUCACAUGACCCCGUUGCAUUAAAUUAUUGCAGUGGAGG